rnacentral:rRNA from 1 species
UACGUAGGGGGCAAGCGUUGUCCGGAUUUACUGGGCGUAAAGAGCGUGUAGGCGGCCACGCAGGUCCGUUGUGAAAACUCGAGGCUCAACCUCGGGCUUGCAGUGGAUACGGGCAGACUAGAGUGCGGUAGGGGAGACUGGAAUUCCUGGUGUAGCGGUGGAAUGCGCAGAUAUCAGGAGGAACACCGAUGGCGAAGGCAGGUCUCUGGGCCGCAACUGACGCUGAGGAGCGAAAGCAUGGGGAGCGAACAGG